AUUGAACGCUGGCGGCAGGCUUAACACAUGCAAGUCGAGCGGGGAAGGGUAGCUUGCUACCUAACCUAGCGGCGGACGGGUGAGUAAUGCUUAGGAAUCUGCCAUUUAGUGGGGGACAACAUUCCGAAAGGAAUGCUAAUACCGCAUACGUCCUACGGGAGAAAGCAGGGGGUCUUCGGACCUCUCGCUAAAUGAUGAGCCUAAGUCGGAUUAGCUAGUUGGUGGGGUAAAGGCCUACCAAGGCGACGAUCUGUAGCGGGUCUGAGAGGAUGAUCCGCCACACUGGGACUGAGACACGGCCCAGACUCCUACGGGAGGCAGCAGUGGGGAAUAUUGGACAAUGGGCGGAAGCCUGAUCCAGCCAUGCCGCGUGUGUGAAGAAGGCCUUAUGGUUGUAAAGCACUUUAAGCGAGGAGGAGGCUACCAGUAUUAAUACUACUGGAUAGUGGACGUUACUCGCAGAAUAAGCACCGGCUAACUCUGUGCCAGCCGCCGCAGUAACAC
rnacentral:rRNA from 1 species